UAAGACAGAGGCCUCAAGCGUUAGGCGGAAUCACUGGGCUUAAAGCGUGUGUAGGCGGAUCGUUAAGUGUCUUGUGAAAUCCCACGGCUCACCCGUGGAACUGCUGGGCAUACUGGCGAUCUUGGGCCAACUAGGGGCAGCCGGAACAAGCGGUGGAGCGGUGAAAUGCGUAGAUAUCGCUUGGAACGCCGAAGGUGAAAACAGGCUGCUGGGGUUGCGCCGACGCUGAGACACGAAAGCCAGGGGAGCAAACGGGA
rnacentral:rRNA from 1 species